GCAUAUCAAUAAGCGGAGGAAAAGAAACCAACAGGGAUUGCCUCAGUAACGGCGAAGUGAAGCGGCAACAGCUCAAAUUUGAAAUCUGGCCCUAGGCCCGAGUUGUAAUUUGCAGAGGAUGCUUUUGGCAAGGUGCCUUCCGAGUUCCCUGGAACGGGACGCCAUAGAGGGUGAGAGCCCCGUCUGGUCGGACACCGAGCCUCUGUAAAGCUCCUUCGACGAGUCGAGUAGUUUGGGAAUGCUGCUCUAAAUGGGAGGUAUAUGUCUUCUAAAGCUAAAUACCGGCCAGAGACCGAUAGCGCACAAGUAGAGUGAUCGAAAGAUGAAAAGCACUUUGAAAAGAGAGUUAAAUAGCACGUGAAAUUGUUGAAAGGGAAGCGUUUACGACCAGACUUGGGCCGGUUGAUCAUCCAGCGUUCUCGCUGGUGCACUCUGCCGGCCCAGGCCAGCAUCAGUUCGCCCCGGGGGAUAAAGGCGGCGGGAAUGUGGCUCCUCGUGAGUGUUAUAGCCCGCCGUGUAAUACCCUGGAGUGGACUGAGGUUCGCGCUCUGCAAGGAUGCUGGCGUAAUGGUCGUCAACGACCCGUCUUGAAACACGGACCAAGGAGUCGUCUUCGUAUGCGAGUGUUCGGGUGUAAAACCCCUACGCGUAAUGAAAGUGAACGCAGGUGAGAGCUUCGGCGCAUCAUCGACCGAUCCUGAUGUUCUCGGAUGGAUUUGAGUAAGAGCAUACGGGGCCGGACCCGAAAGAAGGUGAACUAUGCCUGUAUAGGGUGAAGCCAGAGGAAACUCUGGUGGAGGCUCGCAGCGGUUCUGACGUGCAAAUCGAUCGUCAAAUAUGGGCAUGGGGGCGAAAGACUAAUCGAACCUUCUAGUAGCUGGUUUCCGCCG
rnacentral:rRNA from 1 species